rnacentral:misc_RNA from 1 species
GUGGACUACCAGGGUUUCUAAUCCUGUUUGCUCCCCACGCUUUCGCUCCUCAGCGUCAGUGGUGGCCCAGUAACCUGCCUUCGCCAUCGGUGUUCCUCCUGAUAUCUGCGCAUUUCACCGCUACACCAGGAAUUCCAGUUACCCCUACCACACUCUAGUCAGACCGUAUCGAAUGCAGGCUGGGGGUUGAGCCCCCAGUUUUCACAUCCGACGUGUCUAACCGCCUACGAGCUCUUUACGCCCAAUAAAUCCGGACAACGCUUGCACCCUACGUAUUACCGCGGCUGCUGGCACG